ensembl:snoRNA SNORD14 Small nucleolar RNA SNORD14
UCGCUGUGAUGACGCUUUUUCCUGCCAUUCGUAGUUUCCUCCGGAGGCCGAGAGGCCAAAGACGGUUCAAACCUUCCUUGGAUGUCUGAGCGA